rnacentral:rRNA from 1 species
UACGUAGGUGGCAAGCGUUGUCCGGAUUUACUGGGCGUAAAGAGCGCGCAGGCGGUCGUUUAAGUCGAAUGUGAAAGCCCCCGGCUCAACUGGGGAGGGUCAUUCGAUACUGAUCGACUUGAAGGCAGGAGAGAGAAGUGGAAUUCCCGGUGUAGUGGUGAAAUGCGUAGAUAUCGGGAGGAACACCAGUGGCGAAGGCGACUUCUUGGCCUGUUCUUGACGCUGAGGUGCGAAAGCCAGGGGAGCGAACGGG